rnacentral:rRNA from 1 species
UGCGGAGGGAUCAUUACUGAGUUAUCAAAACUCCAAACCCUUUGUGAACCUUACCGUCGUUGCCUCGGCGUGAGCUACGGCUACCCUGUAACUACCCUGGAGCUACCCUAGAGUUACCCUAUAGCUACCCUGCACUUACCCUGCAGCUACCCUAUAGCUACCCUGGAGCUACCCUGGAGCUACCCUGUAGUCGGCUUCGGCCCGCCGAAGGACCGUUAAACUCUUGUUUUUACCACUGUUUCUCUGAAUUCUAAACUAAAAUAAGUUAAAACUUUCAACAACGGAUCUCUUGGUUCUGGCAUCGAUGAAGAACGCAGCGAAAUGCGAUAAGUAAUGUGAAUUGCAGAAUUCAGUGAAUCAUCGAAUCUUUGAACGCACAUUGCGCCCACUAGUAUUCUAGUGGGCAUGCCUAUUCGAGCGUCAUUUCGACCCCUAAGCCCCUGUUGCUUAGCGUUGGGAAUCUACGGCGUAGUUCCUCAAAGUUAGUGGCGGAGUUAGGGUACACUCUCAGCGUAGUAAUUUCUCUCGCUCGUGUGGUGGCCCUGGCUGCUGGCCGUUAAAACCCCUAUAUUUUCUAGUGGUUGACCUCGGAUUAGGUAGGAAUACCCGCUGAACUUAAGCA